rnacentral:lncRNA from 1 species
CAAAACUAGCAAGGAUAAAUAUCAAUAGUUAAGUAGUGAACUUGCCCUAGUAGUUAAUGGAAGUCACUUCUAAUUAAAUAUUAGAUUGUAAUACCAUAAAUAGAGAUCUUUUGGUAUCGAAUUAGUUCCUUUAAUUUAUCUUUCAUUUUAUCUUUAAAUUUCUUGCUUUUAUUUUUUUAGUAGGAUUCAAAUUUACUAGUAUGAGUAGUAGGAG